GAUGAAGAACGUAGCAAAAUGCGAUAAGUAAUGUGAAUUGCAGAAUUCAGUGAAUCAUCGAAUCUUUGAACGCACAUGGCGCCCGCUGGUAUUCCGGCGGGCAUGCCUGUUCGAGCGUCAUUUCAACCCUCAAGCCCCCGGGUUUGGUGUUGGGGAUCGGCUCUGCCCUUCUGGGCGGUGCCGCCCCCGAAAUACAUUGGCGGUCUCGCUGCAGCCUCCAUUGCGUAGUAGCUAACACCUCGCAACUGGAACGCGGCGCGGCCAUGCCGUAAAACCCCAACUUCUGAAUGUUGACCUCGGAUCAGGUAGGAAUACCCGCUGAACUUAAGCAUAUCAAUAAGCGGAGGA
rnacentral:misc_RNA from 1 species